CCUACGGGGGGCUGCAGUGGGGAAUAUUGGACAAUGGGGGCAACCCUGAUCCAGCCAUGCCGCGUGUGUGAAGAAGGCCCUCGGGUUGUAAAGCACUUUCAGUGAGGAAGAACGCCUGGUGGUUAAUACCCAUCAGGAAAGACAUCACUCACAGAAGAAGCACCGGCUAACUCCGUGCCAGCAGCCGCGGUAAUACGGAGGGUGCGAGCGUUAAUCGGAAUUACUGGGCGUAAAGCGCGCGUAGGUGGCUUGAUAAGCCGGUUGUGAAAGCCCCGGGCUCAACCUGGGAACGGCAUCCGGAACUGUCAAGCUAGAGUGCAGGAGAGGAAGGUAGAAUUCCCGGUGUAGCGGUGAAAUGCGUAGAGACCGGGAGGAAUACCAGUGGCGAAGGCGGCCUUCUGGACUGACACUGACACUGAGGUGCGAAAGCGUGGGUAGCAAACAGGAUUAGAUACCCUAGUAGUC
rnacentral:rRNA from 1 species